GGGUUCUUAGCUCAGUUGGUAGAGCAGCGGACUUUUUAUCCGUUUGUCGUGGGUUCGACCCCCGCAGGACCCACCA
rnacentral:tRNA from 1 species